GCGGGUAUGGCGGAACAGAAGACGCACUAGGUUCAGGACCUAGCAGGAGCAAUCCUAUGGAGGUGCAAAUCCUCCUACCCGCA
rnacentral:tRNA from 2 species